AAUAGAUAUCCUGGGAGAUGGUGGACGAACCGGGUUCAUAGGGAACUGCAACCGUGAACGUUGUCUCAUACCGGACGGGGUAUGGAGACUUGGUCAUUUAGUGCCCAUACCGAAUGAGGUAUGGAGGCGGCCGAUUCACCCUCAUACCGGAUGAGGUAUUGAGAUUUAAUGUCUUAGUGCUCAUACCGUACGGGGUAUGGGGUCGGUUAUGUAAUUAAGAUUGUUAAGAGAAAGGGUUCACGUGUAGCGGAGACACCCCUAUGGAUCCCC
rnacentral:lncRNA from 1 species